UACGUAGGGGGCAAGCGUUGUCCGGAUUUAUUGGGCGUAAAGAGCGUGUAGGCGGUUUGGUAGGUCCGCUGUGAAAACUCGAGGCUCAACCUCGAGACGCCGGUGGAAACCAUCAGACUAGAGUCCGGAAGAGGAGAGUGGAAUUCCUGGUGUAGCGGUGAAAUGCGCAGAUAUCAGGAGGAACACCGGUGGCGAAGGCGGAUCUCUGGGCCGAUACUGACGCUGAGGAGCGAAAGCGUGGGGAGCGAACAGG
rnacentral:rRNA from 1 species